rnacentral:lncRNA from 1 species
UGGUAAAACCCAAAGAAUAUUUGCUCCUGAUGACACACUCCAGUGUGGGUCAGUGAGGUAAGGGUUAACUGAUACGGGGAACCCAUGGGUCCAAGCAAGAGGGAAGGCUGGUGGGGAGUAGAGGUUAUGAGCUUGCUUCCUGACAUGGUGUUUAUGAAGUGCCUGUGGGACAUCCCAGUGAAGGUGUUUAGUAGACAAUUAGAUAUGUGACUAUGAGUCUUUGGAGAGUGAUCUAAUCUAGAGUGACAGAUUUGGAACUGUCAGCAUGUAAAUUCAUGAAAUCCAAUGGGAAACUGUAUAGAGUGAGGAGCAAUGAUGGUUAAGGACAGAAACCAAAGGUCACCAAUAUUUACAGGACAGUGAAAGGAGGAGAAAUCUGCAAAGACGAAUGAGAAGACACAUCAGAGACUUAGGAGGAAAACCAGAGGUACUGGGUACAUCCCUAAAAAAAAAAAAAAAAAAAAAAAAGUUGCUUGCUUGGGGAGUUCCUGUCGUGGCGCAGUGGUUAACGAAUCCGACUAGGAACCAUGAGGUUGCAGGUUCGGUCCCUGCCCUUGCUCAGUGGGUGAACGAUCCGGCGUUGCCGUGAGCUGUGGUGUAGGUUGCAGACUCGGCUUGGAUCCCGCGUUGCUGUGGCUCUGGUGUAGGCCGGUGGCUACAGCUCCUAUUGGACCCCUAGCCUGGGAACCUCCAUAUGCCGCAGGAGCGGCCCAAAGAAAUAGC